UACAGAGGUCUCAAGCGUUGUUCGGAUUCAUUGGGCGUAAAGGGUGUGUAGGUGGCGCUGUAAGUCGGGUGUGAAAUUUCGGAGCUUAACUCCGAAACUGCAUUCGAUACUGCGGUGCUUGAGGACUGGAGAGGAGACUGAAAUUCAUGGUGUAGCAGUGAAAUGCGUAGAGAUCAUGAGGAAGACCAGUGGCGAAGGCGGGUCUCUGGACAGUUCCUGACACUGAGGCACGAAGGCCAGGGGAGCAAACGGG
rnacentral:rRNA from 1 species